GUUUCCUGCUAAUCUGUCCCCGCCUCCAAUUCAAUCAGCUCCACUAUCAACCCGGGUGCCACGCCGCUAAGAUAAACGCACGCAGACUCCUAUCUAAUUUGGUUCGAUGAAGUCUCCGACGCGAUCGAGUGAUCGUACUCCCUUCAAAGACAUGUCGAACUCUACGAACCAAAGUGUCAUCGAUAUUAAUAAUGGAGGGGAACCUAUAGAUGUGAAAGAGCGCAAGCGGCAACGUGCUAGGGAACGAUAUGCGCAGAUGGAUGCAGAUAAAAAAGAUGAGCUACUUAAAAAGCGUAGUGAAGCCUAUCAACAAAAGAAAGCUUGACUAUUGGUUCAUUCCCAAGAGACAGAAUCAAGUCAAGAUACGUCAGUUGUUAAAGGUGCUUAAUAGUAGGCAUAUUAUUACUUGCAAAUAUAGCAAUUUCGUUGUUCCAUGUUUCUAAGCAACUAUACCUCACGUGCCAUGGUUAGAACAAGAAGACACUUCUUGCAACAAGGAAAAUAUGGUUCCUCUUGAAGAUAAUGAGGGCUAUGGUCCAGCCAACGUGCUUCUGCGCCACUCACGCACAGUCAUGAGUAUCAACAUUUGCUGUCCUUCUAGCAAAACGAAUAUCAAAAGACUCAAAAAGUGGACUGCUUGGUGAUUCCGUCUUAUCCGCCAUAGACCCGCCAAAUUUGUCGCUGGAUGGGAUGUUUCCACUCAGAGUAAAAGUAUACGAUACAAUAAAACGGAGCGACAUCUCUGGCCAUUUUCUUGCUCCCGAUAUUUUUGCAUGCGAUAAUGGCGCUAGCCAAUCGGUAAAUAAAUCAGAGGGAAGCAAUCACGUUUAUGUAGGGAAGAUAAUCGCGGAGAUUGCCCUAUGUAGGGAAGAUAAUCGCCGAGAUUGCAGGGCAGUUAAGGCGGCGCGUCACAUGCAGCAAGAAAAUCCCGAGUUCAGCGGAAGGGAAGGAAAUAAUAAAGCUAGGCUGCUCGCACUACCCCAUUUUCAUCUAUCAUAUUGCUAAAAACAUUUACUCCUAUCCAGCAAUCUGUCUGGGUUUUUAGUUUUAAAGUUUAUGCGCGCGUGGCAUGAUCAUGAACAUGGAUUACCAGUUGUUCUGGUGAGUACUCUACAUUCACCAUUCAUGUGUCCUUUUAGAUGUGAGCCUUGCAUGACAGCAUAAUGCACGUGCAGGAUGAUUAUGACCUACAAAAUCAGGUGU